rnacentral:lncRNA from 1 species
AUCCAACUUCUAAUCUAAAAUACAAGCUUUCUAAAUCCAAUCUCCAAACUUCAAAUGAAUUGCCUUGCUUUGAAUGGACUGCCUUAAAGUCGUCCCAAAUUCUAAUAUGGUCCCAAACAACAUCUCAAAGCCAAUUUGACAUGACUUUCAACCAAAGGUAAUGAAGUCCUCUAUCACUCACUUUAUCCAUCUACAUGAGAUGGCCUAGGAAUCAAAAUAUUAUACUUUUGACACCAAAGCUUUACUAAAUUUAUUAUUAAUAAAUCCUACAAAUUUAAUAUUUAAUAACAAAAUUUAAAUUAUAAAUUUUAAUAAAUUAGAUAAGUAUUUUAUUUUAU